UACGAAGGGGGCUAGCGUUGCUCGGAAUCACUGGGCGUAAAGCGCACGUAGGCGGACUCUUAAGUCGGUGGUGAAAUCCUGGAGCUCAACUCCAGAACUGCCUUCGAUACUGGGAGUCUCGAGUUCGGGGAGAGGUGAGUGGAACUGCGAGUGUAGAGGUGAAAUUCGUAGAUAUUCGCAAGAACACCAGUGGCGAAGGCGGCUCACUGGCCCGAUACUGACGCUGAGGUGCGAAAGCGUGGGGAGCAAACAGG
rnacentral:rRNA from 1 species